GGGUCAGUAGGUUGGUCGUGCCACCGGUACGUACUGGUCUCACUGAUUCCUCCUUCCUGAAGAACCGUAAUGCCAUUAAUUUGGUGUUGCGGGGAAACAGGACUGUUACCUUGAAAAAAUUAGAGUGUUUAAAGCAAGCUAACGCUUGAAUACAUUAGCAUGGAAUAAUGAAACAGGACGAUCGAUCCUAUUUUGUUGGUUUCUAGGAUUGACGUA
rnacentral:rRNA from 1 species